AAUUUAAGCAUAUAAGUAGGUGGAGGAAAAGAAACCGAAUGGGAAUCUCUUAGUAAUGGCGAAUGAAAGGAGAUGUGCUUAGUGUCAAAAUCAGAUUACUCUGACUUGUAGGCUGUAGGGGCUUUGCCAACUUGGGUGCAGGUGCAAGUCUCUUGGAAAGGAGCACCAGUGAGGGUCAAGGUCCCGUCUGGCAUCUGUCAUCCCUCGUAGACGGUUUGCCCAUUGAGAGUCGUGUUCUUCUGGAGUAGAGCGCUAAUUGGGUGGUACUCUUUGCCCAAGGAGGAUUACGUGCUUGAGACCAAUAGUGAACAAGUACCAUGAGGGAAGGGUGAAAAGGACUUUGGAAAGAGGGUUAAGAGGGCAUGAAGCUGCUGGAAGGGAAGUGGAUUGGACUUUUACAUCGCAGUAAGAUUGCAGGCUGUGAUUUCCACUCGUGGGACAUCGCGUGCUGUGUCUCUUGCUGCUCGGUUGGGUUUUGCGUUGUGCCCGAAAUCUCAGCUUUGACUGGAAGAAGGUUUGCGAACUGGACCAUGUCAUUGCCAACUUUUGGCGCAGCAUGCAACCUUGACCAAAAGGUUCAAUUUUACCCGUCUUGAAACACGGACCAA
rnacentral:rRNA from 1 species